AUUUUAUAAUUAAAAAGGGUGUUAGAUGGAUAUUUGGAUACUUUAAAAGAGACGAAGAAAGACGUUGUAAUGGUUAAAACUCGAAAAACUUUAAUAAUAUUAAAUAUAAUGAUUUAAAGAUUUCUGAAUAAAAUUAAUUUUAUAUAUUUACUAAAAGUAAAGGUCACACCUGAGGAACUGAAACAUCUUAGUACUCAGAGAUAAAUUAAAGUAACAACGAUUUUCUGAGUAACUGCGAGUGAAAAGAAAUAAAAAAUAUAAAAAAAUAUUUUAAGUUAAAGUAAUUUAAAAUUCAAAUUUGAAUGAAAAUACUAUAGAGAAUCUCCUCUUUAUAUACUUUAAAUACUACAAGUAUCGAUAGUGGACAAAGUACCGUGAGGGAAAUAAUGAAAAGAACCCCGGGAGGGGAGUGAAAAGAGUUUGAAAUCUAACAUCUAUAAGCAUUAAAAAAAUUAGUAAAUAGAAUUUUAUUAAGUGCCUGUUGAAGAAUGAACUUACGAGUUAUAUUAGAGUAGGCUAUUGAUUAAAUAUUUUACAUUUAUGUAGUCAAAGUUAAAGCAAGCUUGAAUUUUAAAAAGCAUAUAUUAAAAGUCUCCUAAUAUAUACCCGAUGCCGGAUGAUCUAAUUAUAUUUAAGAUAAGCAUACUUAUAUAUAAUUGUAUGUUUUAGUCUGUAUUGGUUAAUAUUGCAAAAUUAUCAAAUGAAAUAUAAUUAGUGGUGAAAUACCUAUCGAAUUCGGAGCUAGCUGGUUCUCUCCGAAAUGUGUUUAGGCACAGCUAUAAUUUUUGUAAAAAAUGAGGGUAAGAAUAAAAAUUUUUAUAAUUUUAUUUCUAUAAUAUCAUUUUAAAAAGUAAAUAAGUUAGACUUUAGUGUGGGUAAUCUUUAAAGUCAAGAGGGAAACAACCCGUAAUCAUAAAAUAAGGUCCUUAAAUAUUUAGUAAGUUUAAAGGAAGUUUAUAUACUAAGACAAAUAAAAAUUAAGCUUAGAAGCAGCUAUAUUUUAAAGAGUGCGUAAUAGCUCAUUAUUAUAGUAUGUUUGCACCGAUAAUUAGAAAGGGAUAAAUAUAUUACCGAAGUUAUGAAUAAUAUAUAUAUAUAUAUACUGGUAGGAGAGCGUCUUGUAUAGGGUUAAAGUUAUGUUGUAAGAAAUAAUGAACUAAACAAGAGUGAUUAUGUAAGUUUAAGUAAUUUUACAUAUUGAUACUAAAUUAAUACCCUGAAUAUUAAAAGGGUUCCUAUUUACAGAAAAACUAAAUGGGGUUAGUCGGGGCCUAAGGUGAGAUUAUAUGUGUAGUCGAUGGGUAUUAAGUUAAUAUUCUUAAACCUUAAUUAUAUAACUAAAAAUUUUUUAUAAAAAAUUUUUAGUAAAAAUAUAAGUAAGCCCGUACCUAAACUGACACAAGCAAAUAGGUAGACUUUAUACUAAAGGGUAAGAGACUUCUUUUUAAGGAACUAGGCAAAUUGAUUCUGUAACUUAGGGACAAAGAAUAUCCUAAUUGGGAUAUAGAAAGUGACUCAAACGACUGUUUAUCAAAAACAUAGGUUCUCGCUAAAUUUAAAAAUAAUGUAAGAGAGCUGACGUCUGCCCAGUGUUGAUGCAUAAAAAUGUAAUAAUUACUAUUAAUUAUCAGUAAACGGCGGCUGUAACUAUAACGGUCCUAAGGUAGCGAAAUUCCUUGUCGGGUAAGUUCCGACCCGCACGAAAGACGUAACGAUUUGAGUGCUGUCUUAAAAAGAAUCUUAAUGAAAUAGAAUUGUCCGUGAAGAUGCGGACUGCCCGUACUAGGACAGAAAGACCCUACGAAGCUUUACUGUAGUUUUAUAUUAAAUUUUAUAAUUAUAUGUAUAGGGAUGUGGGAUGACCUUUUUAUAGUUUUAUCAAUGAAAAACCACUCUUAUAAUCUAUAAAUUUUAACGAAUUUUUAACAAAAAUUCGUACAGUUUAAAAGAGACAGUUUGACUGGGGCGGUGACCUCUUAAAUAGUAACGGAGGUGUACAAAGGUUUUAAUAAAGAUAAAAAUUUUAUAAAGCUUGAUUGUUAGAUUUAUUAAUCAAACAAGGAUGAAAAUCGGUUUUAGUGAUCCGACUUUUUAUGUGAUACUAAAGUCGCUUAACAGAUAAAAGUUACUCUAGGGAUAACAGGCUUAUCUUCCCCGAGAGUCCCUAUCGACGGGAAGGUUUGGCACCUCGAUGUCGGCUCAUCACAACCUAAGGCAGUAGUUUGUCUUAAGGGUUAGUCUGUUCGCCUAUUAAAAGUGGUACGUGAGCUGGGUUCAGAACGUCGCAAGACAGUUCGGUCCAUAUCCAGUAUGGGUAUUUAGAAUUGUGAGAAGUAUUUUUUUUAGUACGAAAGGAUCAAAAAAAUCAAAUCAAUGGUAGGCCAAUUAUUUUUAAGUAUUGUUGGGUAGCUAAAUUUGAAAAAUAAACUGCUGAUAGCUUAUAAGUAGGAAAUUUUAUUUAUAACAAUUCUUUUCUAUGUAAAUUAGAAUAAGAAUAUAAUAAGAUUAAUUAUUAUAUAAUAUGUUAAUGUAAGUGUAGUAAUACAUUAAGUUUAAAAUUAUUAAUAAUUUUCGAAUGAAUUAU
rnacentral:rRNA from 1 species